rnacentral:tRNA from 1 species
GCCUUCGUGGUGUAGUGGUCAGCACACUCGGCGCGUAUUCGAGAGGUCCGUGGUUCGAGUCCCGCAGAAGGCA